rnacentral:rRNA from 1 species
UUCAACUUGAGAGUUUGAUCCUGGCUCAGAACGAACGCUGGCGGCAGGCUUAACACAUGCAAGUCGAACGCAUCCUUCGGGGUGAGUGGCAGACGGGUG